rnacentral:rRNA from 1 species
CCGACGGUGAGGGGUGAAAGCUGGGGGCACGAACCGGAUUAGAUACCCGGGUAGUCCCAGCCGUAAACGAUGCUCGCUAGGUGUCUGGGGUGGUGCGACCGUUUCAGGUGCCGCAGGGAAGCCGUGAAGCGAGCCACCUGGGAAGUACGGCCGCAAGGCUGAAACUUAAAGGAAGUGGCGGGGGAGCGCUACAACGGGUGGAGCCUGCGGUUUAAUUGGACUCAACGCCGGAAAACUCACCUGGGGC